GUGUUGUAUGAAAGGAGAGAUGUUUAGCACUCCCCUAGACAAGGAUGGACAACAUAUGUACUGGUAAGGCACUGUCGUCAUUUGGCGACUCUUACCACCACAUUUUU